rnacentral:rRNA from 1 species
AGUGGCGAACGGGUGAGUAACACGUUGGUGAACUGCCCCGAGGUGGGGAAUAACUGUGGGAAACCACGGCUAAUACCCCGGAUGUUAAAGAGUUUAGACAUCUCUAACUAAAGUUCCGGCGCCUCGGGAGGGGCCUGCGGGCUAUCAGCUUGUUGGUGGGGUAACGGCCUACCAAUGCUAAGACGGCUAAGGGGCGUGAGAGCGCGAACCCCCACAAUGGAACUGAGAAACGGUCCAUACUCCUACGGGAGGCAGCCGUGAGGAAUAUUGCACCAUGGGGGAAACCCUGAUGCAGCAACGCCGCGUGAACGAUGAACGCCUUCGGGUUGUAAAGUUCUUUUAUGGGGGACGAUAGUGACGGUACCUCAGGAAAAAGUCCCGGGCUAAUACGCGCCAACAAGCCGCGGUAAAACGUAGGGGCCGAGCGUUAUCCGGAAUUUAUUGGGCGUAAAGCGCAAGUAGGCAGCGUUGUAAGUUGGACGUGAAAGCUCCCGGCUCAACUGGGAGAGGUCGUUCAAAACUACAGUGCUCGAGGUUGGAAGAGGAGAGUAGAAUUCCCGGCGUANUGGUGGAAUGCGUAGAUAUCGGGAGGAAUACCAGUGGCGAAAGCGACUCUCUGGUCCACACCUGACGCUGAGGUGCGAAAGCGUGGGUAGCGAACGGGAUUAGAUACCCCGGUAGUCCACGCCGUAAACGAUGGAUACUAGGUGUAGGGGGUCACUGAAUCCCUCUGUGCCGUAGCAAACGCGUUAAGUAUCCCGCCUGGGGACUACGGCCGCAAGGUUAAAACUCAAAGGAAUUGACGGGGGCCCGCACAAGCGGAGGAGCAUGUGGCUUAAUUCGAUGCAACGCGAAGAACCUUACCUGGGCUUGACAUGGUGCUGCACGUCCCGUGAAAACGGGGCAGCCUUCGAGGGUGCACCACAGGUGCUGCAUGGCUGUCGUCAGUUCGUGCCGUGAGGUGUUGGGUUAAGUCCCGCAACGAACGCAACCCCUAUGUUUAGUUGCCACCGGUGGUGAUGAGCCGCCGAGCACUCUAGACAGACUGCCUGUACAAGCAGGAGGAAGGUGGGGAUGACGUCAAGUCAGUAUGGCCCUUACGCCCAGGGCUGCACACGUGCUACAAUGGUCGGUACAAUGGGAAGCAAGACCGCGAGGUGGAGCAAAUCCCCAAAGCUGGCCCCAGUUCGGAUUGGAGUCUGCAACUCGACUCCAUGAAGUUGGAUUCGCUAGUAACGGCGCAUCAGCUACGGCGCCGUGAAUACGUUCCCGGGCCUUGUACACACCGCCCGUCACAUCAUGAAAGCCGUCUGCACCCGAAGUCGCCGAGCUAACCCGUCNAGGGAAGCAAGUGCCGAAGGUGUGGGUGGUGAUUGGGAUGA